UAGUUACUAUAGCAAAGAGGAUACACCUGUUCCCAUUCCGAACACAGAAGUUAAGCUCUUUAGCGCCGAUGGUACUUGGUGGGAAGCUGCCUGGGAGAGUAGGACAUAGCUAGGUG
rnacentral:rRNA from 1 species